UACGUAGGGGUCGAGCGUUGUCCGGAGUUACUGGGCGUAAAGCGUGCGCAGGCGGCUCAUCGCGCUCGGCGUGAAAGCCCCCGGCUCAACCGGGGAGGGUCGUCGAGGACGGGUGAGCUUGAGGGUAUCAGGGGUUGGUGGAAUUCCCGGUGUAGUGGUGAAAUGCGUAGAGAUCGGGCGGAACACCAGCGGCGAAGGCGGCAUCCUGGCCCUAUCCUGACGCUGAGGCGCGAGAGCGUGGGGAGCAAACCGG
rnacentral:rRNA from 1 species